AGGAAGGACAAGGUGAAAAAAAGACUUAGCUAACUCAGUACUUACAGAGGGUUUGCUCUACAGAAGUCUUAUCUCAGCACCAGCCCAACAGCGUCCCUGCCCUUUGACCAGGUCUCCCUGUUCUUAGGAAUUCACCCCAAAGAAUGAGGGAAAAGAAGAGAGAGCGCUAACUAGGCAAAAAUGCUCUCUGAGGUGAGUGGGCAGGAGGACUGAGUUCAGAGCCCUGUGUCAAUCAGGUGUUGGAGCCCCAUUCUGCCAGUGGGAGGGUGUCAGCCUCCAGUCCCAUCCAUCCUCCUGGCACCAAGGGUAGGGGUCUAUUUCCCUCUGGACUUUGACCAAAAGGAUGCAGCAGAAAGGAUGUUGUGCCAAUUCUCGGGCUGGUUUUUAGGAUGCCUGGGAAGUUCUGAUUUUGCUCUCUAGGAAGCCAGCCACCAUGGAAAGAAAUCCAGCUAAUCUGCUGCACACCGAACACAUGGAAGGAAAAGAAAAAAAAACCUGGAAGAUGAGAAACCGCACAGGGACAGAAACCCAGCCAGCCCUGGGCCAUUUCAGCCUCCCUUGCUGAGGCACCAGGCAUCGAGUGAACCGUCUUGGAUCCUCCAGCCACGAUACAAAUACACAGGUUGGAACCCUGGGCAGCAGAGACGAGCCAGCUCCACCAAGCCUGUCCAAAUUGUGGGAUCAUGAAGAAACACCUUUAAGAAAAUUGUUAUCUGCAGAUAUGAGUCAGAGAUUAUUACCGGCUCAUCUGCAGGAGGCUUCACAGCCCAUCCUGCUGACAAGAUUCUCCGCCCAGAGGAGCUGACAAGACUCUCUACCCGGAGGGUCAUGUUACUGACCUGAAGUGCAAAAGAAAGUCUGGUGAGUACAAGGACAACAAGUGACUAGAAGAAGCCCAGUGAGUCUGACAACAAAGUCCAGGCUCUGAAGAACUCCCCUUCCUUGGCUCAUGGCUUUGGGGGUUCCUGACUCCCACCAUAGCAACCUUGUCUUACAGUCUUAAAGCCUGCAUGGAGGUUUGCUAAUGCUUCUGACAAAGACCUUUCCUACACUGGCCAGUUAUUCGAGGAAACCAUUUUUACCAGAGUACCUUAAUAAUAAACAUCAUUCCUUCUCUGUGAUAUUUUUACAUUUUCACAAUCUCAUAUGCUAUUGCUCGGUUGAUUCUCAGAACAAAACAACAACAACAACAACAAAACUCAUCCUUCAAGGCUCAAUGGAGCAUUUACCACCAUACCAUGGUGCUUUUGGACUAUCUAUCUGUUUCUGACCCUGAAAAUAAGACCAGGUCUUAUUCACUCCCAAUGAAUGCCAAGCACCAUAUUUGGCUCAUAACAGGUAUUUUAUAAGAGUUUGUGAGUGAAGGAGCACAUUAGACACUCUGCAGAUUCCUGGGUGGGAAAUGAAGGUUUGAAAUCAGGGUUCUUCACUCCAAUUCACCACCACAAGACUUUUUCCAACACCUUGAGCUCGGGCAUUUCAGGUAGUGAGUUCUGUCUGAUAUUUUAUUGCUGAAAAUGGGUGGAAGAGUAGAUAGAGGACAGAAAGGAAGGAAUAAUGGGAGAAAAUGAGAGGAGGUAGUGAGAGAAGGGAUGAGGGACGGGAAGGUGAACAGUGGAUAGA